GGGGGGAGUUUCCUCACCAUCAUGAAGACGAAGGUGAUGGUCAUGAAGAUGUUCGCGAGCGCCACUACCGUCUGGUCGGCGGAGAUGGCCAUGGUCAUGGCGGUGGCGGUGUAGGCCACCAGGGUGACCGUCAGCGUGAAGACGGAGAAGGCGGCCAAUGUGGUUUUCAGCCCUGAGCGGACAAAACGCCACACAGUCCUUCAGCCAGAAACGGACCAGAAAGGUCAAAAAGAGGGUCUUACCGAUCAAAAAGUAGACCCCACAGCUGAAGAUGACCGAGGUGACGGUGCGCAGGACCAUGUCGGACAAGACCUUGGACAGGAAGUAGACAGACACCCUGUAGUAGCCGCUGAUGUACUCGUGCCUGCAACAAGACCAGAACUAAGUUAGACCCACUUGGUUUUACUUUGUAGUUUGCUUGUUGAUGAUUUUGUAUUGUGUAGUUAUGUUUAUAUGGUAAUUAUUAUUCUGUGACUGUAAAUUGCCUUCCCGGGUAAGGUUUAUUCAGGUGUACUGGAGAGGAGGCUACGCAGGAUAGUCCAACCUCGGAUUCAGGAGGAACAGUGUGGUUUUCGUCCUGGUCGUGGAACUGUGGACCAGCUCUAUACUCUGGGCAGGGUUCUUGAGGGUGCAUGGGAGUUUGCCCAACCAGUCUACAUGUGCUUUGUGGACUUGGAGAAGGCAUUCGACCGUGUCCCUCGGGAAGUCCUGUGGGGAGUGCUCAGAGAGUAUGGGGUAUCGGACUGUCUUAUUGUGGCGGUCUGCUCCCUGUAUGAUCAGUGCCGGAGCUUGGUCAAAUCGGACCCAUUUCCAGUGAGGGUUGGACUCCGCCAAGGCUGCCCUUUGUCACUGAUUCUGUUCGUAACUUUUAUGGACAGAAUUUCUAGGCGCAGUCAAGGCGUUGAGGGGUUCCGGUUUGGUGACCGCGGGAUUAGGUCUCUGCUUUUUGCAGAUGAUGUGGUCCUGAUGGUUUCAUCUGGCCAGGAUCUUCAGCUCUCACUGGAUCGGUUUGCAGCCGAGUGUGAAGCGACCGGAAUGAGAAUCAGCACCUCCAAGUCCGAGUCCAUGGUUCUCGCUCGGAAAAGGGUGGAGUGCCAUCUCCGGGUUGGGGAGGAGACCCUGCCCCAAGUGGAGGAGUUCAAGUACCUAGGAGUCUUGUUCACGAGUGAGGGAAGAGUGGAUGGUGAGAUCGACAGGCGGAUCGGUGCGGCGUCUUCAGUAAUGUAAAACCAGGUUCUAUAUUUUGUGUUCACUUUUAUUAGCAGCAAAAAAGUGAAGUUAGCUAGCUUGCAAAAACGGCAAACUUGCAGAACAUUUCCAAAUUUUAAAUCACUUUUAUUAUUAGCCCAAAAAAAUAGUUAAAUAGCUAGCUAGCUUGCUGCUAACAGCAAAUUUGACCAUUUUUUAAAAUGUAAAACCAGGCUCGUUAUUCUGUUUUCACUUUUAUUAGCAGCAAAAAAGUGAAGUUAAUUAGCCAGCUUGCCAACAACGGCAAAUUUGACGACCUUUUCCGAAUGUAACCUCAGUUUAAACAUUUAGUUUUCACUUUUAUUACUAGCCAAAAAAAUUGUUAAAUAGCUAGCUAGCUUGCUGCCGACAGCAAAUUUGAUGAUUUUUUGAAAAGUAAAAUCAGGCUCUACAUUUAGUUUUCACUUUUAAUAAGCAAAAAAUAGACGUUAAAUAGGUAGCUUGCUGCCAACAGCUAAUUUGACGAUUUAAAAAAAAAAGUAAAACCAGGCUCUAUAUUCUGUUUUCACUUUUAUUAGCAGCAAAAAAGUUUAAUUAGCUAGCUUGCGACCAACAGCAUAUUUGACAACUUUUUCCAAAUGUAAAAUCAGACUCUACAUUUAGUUUUCACUUUUAUUAUAAGCCAAAAAUAGACGUUAAAUAGCUAGCUAGCUUAUUGCCGACAGCAAAUUUGACGAAUUUUUGAAAAGUAAAACCAGGCUUUAUAUUUUGUUUUCACUUUUAUUAGCAGCAAAAAAAGUGAAGUUAGUUAGCUAGCUUGCGACAGACGGCAAUUUUAACGACUUUUUCCAAAAGUAAACUCAGGCUCUACAUUUAGUUUUCACUUUUAAUAUAAGCACCGAUUAAUGCGGAUGUUGUACCAAUCCGUUGUGGUGAAGAAGGAGCUGAGCCGGAAGGCAAAGCUCUCAACUUACCGGCCGAUCUACGUUCCCAUCCUCACCUAUGGUCAUGAGCUUUGAGUCAAGAUCACGGGUACAAGCGGCCAAAAUGAGUUUCCUCCGCUGUGUGGCGGGGCUCUCCCUUAGAGAUAGGGUGAGAAGCUCUGCUCUCAAGGUAAAGCCGCUGCUCCUCCACAUGGAGAGGAGCCAGAUGAGGUGGUUCGGGCAUCUGGUCAGGAUGCCACCCGAACGCCUCCAUAGGGAGGUGUUUAGGGCACCUCCAACCGGUAGGAGGCCACGGGGAAGACCCAGAACACGUUGGGAAGACUAUGUCUCCUGGCUGGCCUGCAACCCGACCUCGGAUAAGCGAAAGAAGAAGAUGGAUAGAUGGAUGGGUAGGUGGAUGGAUGGAUGGAUGUAAAUUGUUUGCUUAAUUGUUUUGAGUUUGUGGACCCCUAGGAAGACUAGUGGGUUGUUGUGGCAACCAGCUAAUGGGGAUGCUUGAUAAAAAUCAAAUUAUAAAAGUGAUAAUAUACCAUAUUGUAGGUGUUUAAUACACUUUGCAAUCAUAUUUUGCUAUUUGUUUAAUUUUUGUUGUGUUUUGUUUGAUUGUAAAAGUGACAACUAUGGAGGAGCUGGUCUGAGAAGUAAAAGAGUAGGGGCGUUUACAUAUCGUUAAUAUUCAGUGUUUUAUUGUUUACAGUUAAUAUUGUAAAUCCCACAUAAGAGGAGCGACAUUUAUAUGUUGUUAAUAUUCAGUGUUUUAUUAUUUGUAGUUAUUGUAAAUCCCACAUAAAAGAGGAGCGACUUUCAUAUGUUAAUAUUCAGUGUUUUAUUGUUUAUAGUUAAUAUUGUAAAUCCCACAUAAAAUAGGAGCAACGUUUAUAUGUUGUCAAUAUUCAGUGUUUAUAGUUAAUAUUGUAAAUCUCAAAAGAGGAGCGACGCUCAUAUAUUGUUGAUAUUCAGUGUUUUAUUGUUUAUAGUUAAUAUUGUAAAUCCCACAUAAAAUAGGAGCAACGUUUAUAUGUUGUCAAUAUUCAGUGUUUAUAGUUAAUAUUGUAAAUCUCAAAAGAGGAGCGACGCUCAUAUAUUGUUGCUAUUCAGUGUUUUAUUGUUUAUAGUUAAUAUUGUAGAUCCCACAUAAAAUAGGAGCAACGUUUAUAUGUUGUCAAUAUUCAGUGUUUUAUUGUUUAUAGUUAAUAUUGUAAAUCUCAAAAGAGGAGCAACGCUCAUAUAUUGUUGAUAUUCAGUGUUUUAUUGUUUACAGUUAAUAUUGUAAAUCCCACAUAAAAGAGGAGCGACUUUUAUAUGUUAAGAUUCAGUGUUUUAUUGUUUAUAGUUAAUAUUGUAAAUCUCACAUAAAAUAGGAGCAACGUUUAUAUGUUGUCAAUAUUCAGUGUUUUAUUGUUUAUAGUUAAUAUUGUAAAUCUCAAAAGAGGAGCGACGCUCAUAUAUUGUUGAUAUUCAGUGUUUUAUUGUUUACAGUUAAUAUUGUAGAUCCCACAUAAGAGGAGCGACAUUUAUAUGUUGUUAAUAUUCAGUGUUUCAUUAUUUGUAGUUAUUGUAAAUCCCACAUAAAAGAGGAGCGACUUUCAUAUGUUAAUAUUCAGUGUUUUAUUGUUCAUAGUUAAUAUUGUAAAUCCCACGUAAAAGAGGUGUAACGUUCAUAUGUUGUUAAUAUUCAGUGUUUUAUUGUUUAUAGUUAAUAUUGUAAAUCCCACUUUCUUCAUUUUAAUGUAUAUUUUGGGUGUCCCAUUCAGUAAAAAAACAGUAAAAUUCCAUUUAGUUUUUUUUUGAGGUGGUCUGUCAUAACUUUUUUAGAACUCUAUCAGACAUUGUGACUUUUGGUAUUAGUUUUCCUAAAAAAAAAAAAAAGGGACCCAAAAACACACACUGUACAGCUGAUUUUUACAGCUAAAUGUAAAUUUCAUUUACACAUCCACAUUGAUGUGGGAUUUGAGCCGAGGAUGUCGUUGUGGCUUGUGCAGCCCUUUGAGACACUCGUGAUUUAGGGCUAUAUAAAUAAACAUUGAUUGAUUGAUUGACAUUGGGUCCCCCCCAGAUACAUUUUUUACUCAUAAUGUGCCCCCCCCCUCCCCGAGUCAAAAUAUUUGCCCAGCUUUGACGUACACAAACAGUUUCCUCUCGGUGAUGAAGAGCUCGGCCGCCGACACCGUGCUGAAACACUGGUUGGUGGUGAUGAAGAAGAGCGCCCCCAUCCUGCAAGAAGAUCACACACUGCAAAAAAACAAGAACAUUUGGCUUGUCAAGACUUUCCAAAUCAAGUCAAAUUAAAGCAGCAAGCAGCGAUGGAUGGGACCGCUUGGGCUGCUGCCCCCGCGACCCAAGCCCGGAUAAGAGGGGGCGCUAGAGCACAAUUUUGACCAGUCCUGAUGUGUGUGUCAAAUUUGGAAUCUUCCGCCUACCUGUUCUGGAUGCCACUCUGAUCGUCUUUGACCCUGAAGAAAAUGGCCCCCACUAUGAGAGCCAGGAAAAUGUGGACCCCCACCUGCACAAAAGCAGAACCAAGACCAAUCACACACAUUGAUAUUUCAGAAUAUUUCGCUUUUUUGGUGUAGCAGGAGGUUUACAUGUAUCCGAUAGCAACUUUGUACAAAGAGUCGGAGCAUUAAGGGGUCAGGGGUCAAGCGGACACUCUCCCCCAUCAGAGAAAGCCGGCGGCGAGGGGGUUUGUGGGGGGCUUGACAGCACAGAGUGAGAAAAGUGAAUAAGGACACAUGUUUUAAUCCCAACAAUUGACACAUUAUGACAGGACUAAGCGGUUCCCAGGGUGAGCGGAUAAGCUAAUAAGGUUGAACCCGGCCCGCUCAGGCGAAAACCCAGGAGUGAUGGGUGGUGACACCGUCAUGUGACCAGCCCUGGCACCGUGGCCAUCGCGGGGGCUUGGGGGGUAUUCGGGGCCCAGAUAUGAUAUCAGUUCAGACCCUGGCCUGAAGGAGGCAAGAGUCGGGUCGCGACAGUCAUUAAAGCCGAUUAUGGCGCCCACGCCGUCCAGAUCCUCGCUUUGGGGAUUAUUGGGAAUUAUCUGGGUCCAAUUGGCUGUUAAUAAUUCUUAAAGUGAGGAGACUUCUCAGGGCUUUGAGCAGGUUGAACCCCCCCAAAAGCUGUCUGUGCCUCCAGAUCAUGGCGAUGAUGAGGGUUCUGACCAACGUUCCCUCUAAGGCAGGGAUGUCAAACACGCGGUUCAAUCCGCCCGUUGAAGUGUACCUAUGAUGAAAUUUACAGACCUCUGUCAUCAUUUUAAGUGGGAAAACUUGCACAAUCGCUGGCUGACUAAAUACUUUUUUGCCCCACUGUAUCUAAAAUAAAACAGUUUUCUAAACUGGACUUUCAAUCCAAACAGAAGAUCUCCAUCGAGACGGAGAGACUUUUAAAACUGAAGAUAUGGAAGACUUCUAUAAAGAAGUUAUCGAUGCUUUUGAUCAGAAGGAAUUGCGCAUGGACUUCAUUUAUAAGUAAAGGUAAGACCAUAAUAACGUUUGUUUUAUUAAAUGUGCUUUUCAUGAUGGUAUCCUUACAUCACACUCAAAUUUUUAAGCGCAGGCCUAAAUUUACCGCAUGCCUUUGGUAAGUGCCAGAGUGAGAAGACGUUUUAAAAUAAUUAGCGCCCCGGCGGCAAUUCAAGGAAAUACGGUAUAUGACAUAGACAUAAUAUAACAUAUCAGUAUAUAUAAUAUACUGUAUAUUAAUUAUUAGGGCUGUGAAUCUUUGGGUCUCCCACGAUUCGAUUCAAUAUCGAUUCUUGGGGUCACGAUUCGAUAUCGAUUUUUUCGAUUUGAUUCUCGAUUCAAAAACGUUAUUUUUCCGAUUCAAAAGGAUUCUGUAUUCAUUCAAUACAUAGAUUUCAGCAGGAUCUACCCCAGUCUGCUGACAUGCUAGCAGAGUAGUAGAUUUUUUUUUUUUUAAAAGCUUUUAUAAUUGUAAAAGACAAUGUUUUAUCAACUGAUUGCAAUAAUGUAAAUUUAUUUUAACUAUUAAACGAACCAAAAAUAUGACUUAUUUUAUCUUUGUGAAAACAUUGGACACAGUGUGUUGUCAAGCUUAUGAGAUGCCAUGCAAGUGUAAGCCACUGUGACACUAUUGUUCUUUUUUAUUAAUUUUAUAAAUGUCUAAUGAUAAUGUCAAUGAGGGAUUUUUAAUCACUGCUAUGCUGAAAUUAUAACUAAUAUUGAUACUGUUGUUGAUAAUAUUCAUUUUUGUUUCACUACUUUUGGUUUGUUCUGUGUGGUGUUUGUGUCUCCUCUCAAUUGCUCUGUUUAUUGCAGUUCUGAGUGUUGCUGGCUCAGGUUUGGUUUUGGAAUUGGAUUGUAUAGUUAUGGUAUUGCUGUGUAGUGGUUUGUUGGAUUGAUUAAAAAAAAUAUAUAUAUAUAUAUAUUUUUUUUAAUUGAAAAAAAAAUAGAUUUUUUCAAAAUGAGAAUCCAUUCUGAAUCGCACAACGUAAACGAUUCGAUUCGUAUUUGAAUCGAUUUUUCCCCACACCCCUAUUAAUUAUGUAAAUAUUACGUAUAUAUGCUAUAUUUUAUAUAGCUAUAUUUAGUCUAUUUAUACCUACAUUGUCCUUUCCAUCCUUACACUUUCCAUCAUUGUAACUGAGCUACUGUGUGGAACAAUUUCCCUUGUGGAUCAUUAAAGUUUGUCUAAGUCUAAGUCUAAGUCUAACUAGAGUACAGCCCAAAAACGUUCUCCUCAUUGAGCUAAAUUGAACUCUGUCUCUGCAUGAUUCCUUGCUUCUUGUCUGUUUAAUAUAGAUGUCAUGGGUGUUUGAACCUGACAAUGAUGUACAUUAGGUUUGUUGUUUCGACUCAGAAUUUAGUCUUGUCCCAAUUUUAGAUAUUCUCACAAAUCAGAAAGGCCUGAUUUCCAAAAUCUACACCUUAAUCUCCCAGUUUGGUAAAACAUCUCUUGAUAAAAUCAGAGGGAACUGGGAAGAAGAGCUUGGCAGAACCAUAGAUGAUGGAGAUUGGGAUUCUGCCUUAACCCAAAUUAACAACAGUACAUCCUGUUCAAGGCUUAAUUUAAUACAAUUUAAGGUUGUCCACCGUAUUUAUUUCACUAAUUCCAAACUCUCCAAAAUAUAUCCCAAUAUCUGGGAUACUUGUAACAGAUGUCACAUGUCACCUGCAAACAUGACGCACAUGUUUUGGUCUUGUCCCCAUUUGCUGGAUUAUUGGAUAACUAUUUUCAAACACCUUGCUAAGGCACUGGAUUUGAAUCUGACACCAUGUGCAGAAAUGGCUAUUUUUGGGACGGUGUCAUAUCCCCAAAUAAGGAGAAAAUUUAAGGAUAGUAUUGCCUUUGCAUCCUUAUUAGCACGUAGGAAAAUUUUGCUGGAGUGGAAGUCACCUUUCUGCCCCAAAGCCUCCUUCUGGCUUAAAGCAGGGGUGUCAAACUCAAAUACAGAGUGGGCCAAAAUUUUAAACAGAACAAAGCCACGGGCCAAGCUUGAACAAAUGAACCUUUUAAUAGGGACCCAAACAAGUUUUGCAUUGAAUAUUGAACGAGCAAGACUUACAUAACUUUAUAGUGACAUGCAAAAUCGAUUUUCAAAUAUUGUAGCAUCCCGGAAGAGUUAGUGCUGCAAGGGGUUCUGGGUAUUUGUUCUGUUGUGUUUAUGUUGAGUUACGGUGCGGAUGUUCUCCCUAAAUGUGGUUGACAUUCUUAUUUGGUGUGGGUUCACAGUGUGGCGCAUAUUUGUAACAGUGUUAAAGUUUUUUAUACGGCCACCCUCAGUGUGACAUGUAUGGCUGUUGACCAAGUAUGCCUUGCAUUCACUUGUUUGUGUGUAAAGUCCGCAUAUAGUAUGUGACUGGACCGACACAAUUUUUGUAUGGAGAAAAAGCGGAAGGGACGACAGGUUGUACAGGAUGUUGAAUGCAGUGCCUUUAAGGCACGUCCCCAAUCAUGUUGUUUGGGUGGAAAUCGAGAGAAAUUCGGGAGAAUGGUUGCCCCGGGUGAUUUUCGGCAAGGGCACUGAAAUUCGAGAGUCUCCCGGGAAAAUCGGGAGGGUUGGUAAGUAUGAGUAUUAGCGGUGAAUGCGGUGUUAUAAUACCGGCAGGCCAGCUCUAAUGUUCAUUUGAUAUUGCCUCAAGGGCCAAAUUAAAUUACACGGAGGGCCAAAUUUGGCCCGCGGGCCAGAGUUUGACACCCAUGGCUUAAAGACCUUAUGAUGUAUUUUGAUCUGGAAAAAAUAAAGUUCAAUCUUAGGGGGGCAGCUGAGAAGUUUUAUUUUGUUUGGGGCUAUAUGGGCUUCACGGUGGCAGAGGGGUUAGUGCGUCUGCCUCACAACAACAAGUUCCUGCAGUCCUGGGUUCAAAUCCAGGCUCGGGAUCUUUCUGUGUGGAGUUUGCAUGUUCUCCCCGUGAAUGCGUGGGUUCCCUCCGGGUACUCCGGCUUCCUCCCACUUCCAAAGACAUGCACCUGGGGAUAGGUUGAUUGGCAACACUAAAUGGGCCCUAGUGUGUGAAUGUGAGUGUGAAUGUUGUCUGUCUAUUUGUGUUGGCCCUGCGAUGAGGUGGCGACUUGUCCAGGGUGUACCCCGCCUUCCGCCCGAUUGUAGCGGAGAUAGACGCCAGCGCCCCCCGCGACCCCAAAAGGGAAUAAGCGGUAGAAAAUGGAUGGAUGGAUGGAUGGGGCUGUAUGGUUGACUACAUAGCUAAAUUAAAGACGCUACAGGACACAUGAAAAGUUCACCUUUCAUAAACCAGCUUCUUUUUAUUUUUUUUUUAUUUCUUUAUUCCGGGUGUAUAGUUACUAUCUGCCUAUGUUGAGAAGAAAGUGAUGUACUAAUUAUUUUCCAUUUGUGACUGUACCUUUAACUUAUGUAGGACACAUAUGUGUGUAUGGGGUGGGUUGCUGUUCUUGGAAAUGGGUGGGAAAAAAAAGGGAAAAUGUGUCGACUGUGUAAUAUCCGUCACAUUCAAUAAAAACAUGUAUUAAAAAAAAAAAAAAAAAAAAAGAGAAUUUAGUCUUGUCCAAGGAACAUUUGUAUUUGACGUUCACAAAACACAAAAGUUAGGUCGGUAAUUUUUACUAAAAGGCUAACAUCUUCGGUACGUUGAGUUUUAUGUACGCUGUUUUUUGUUUACACAAAUGUGUGAGUUUAGCUGGAAAUUGGAGGUUCCUACCUGGGCCACGGACGUUUGUGGGUUCAACAUUAGGUUCUGGAACGUUCUGUGCAGCACCCAUUGCAGCUGGUGGCAAAAGGAGCUGUUGUAGGUGACGGUGCGGGACUUGGGCCGCGAGGAGCAGCGCUUGUCCUGCAGGAUGCGCUCCAGCUGGGUGUGCGUGUCGCUGCAGUAGCUGCUGUUCUUGUACUCCUCCACCAGGUGCUCCUCCAUGCUCUGCCUGCUGCUGCUCAGCUCCUCAAACUCCAUAUCUGGACAAGUGCACGUCAAUGCUGUACUAAAAAAUGACUGAUUUGAAAGUAUGACACCAACACGCACAUACAUGAGGACGAGGAUUCGUUUGGCCACAUUCAGUGGGAUUUACCCGACACGUGAAACGUGACAAAUUUGGGGCGUGCGUUAUCCACUUUAGCCGACAGAACAUGUCUUAAAAUGUGUUGUGUGGCAAUUCCAAUUUUGAUUACAGCAUCAGUUGCUAUGUAGAGUGGUGCUUUGCAGCAUUUUCAGCAGACUGCAUUGCAAAAUGAUUAACCCUCGUCCCCCCUUCCUCUUACACGAGAUCCACCCAGGAAUGAGGCCAUUAAAUAAUAAUAAUAACAAUACAUUUGACUUAUAAGGCACCUUUCUGGGCACUUAAGGACACUGUACAAAAUCAAAACAAUAAAAUCAAUUGGAUAAAAACAACAACAACAAAAAUCGAUAAGAUUUACAAUUAGGGGACGGCCUGGCGCCGUUGGGAGAGUGGCUGUGCCAGCAACCUGAGGGUUCCUGGUUCAAUCCCCACCGUCUACCAACCUCGUCACGUGCGUUGUGUCCUUGAGCAAGACACUUCACCCUUGCUCCUGAUGGGUGGUGGUUAGGGCCUUGCAUGGCAGCUCCCUCCAUCAGUGUGUGAAUGGUUGAAUGUGGAAAUAGUGUCAAAGCGCUUUGAGUACCUUGAAGGUAGAAAAGCGCUGUACAAGUAUAACCCAUUUACAUUUAGAUGUCCGGUAAUGGCUUUUUUGCUGAUAUCCAAUAUUGUCCAACUGUUAAUUACCGAUUCCGAUAUCAACCGAUACCAAUAUAUACAGUCGUAGAAUGAACACAUUAUUAUGCCUAAUUUUGUUGGGAUGCCCCGUUGGAUGCAUUAAACAAUGUUUUCCCCCCCAAAAAUUCAAACUCAAGUUAUGGGCAAAAAGUGCCAACAUGGCACUGCCGUAUUUUUUAUUGAAGUCACAAAGUGCAUCAUUAUUUUUCAACAUGCUCUCCCAGAGAGAACAUGAGGAGGUUGAGGUGGGCGGGGUUUGAGGGUAGCGGGGGGUGUAUAUUGUAGCGUCCCGGAACAGUUAGUGCUGCAAGGGAUUCCGGGUAUUCGUUCUGUUGUGUUUAUGUUGUGUUACAGUGCGGAUGUUCCCCCGAAAUGUGUUUGUCAUUCUAGUUUGGUGUGGGUUCACAGUGUGGCGCGUAUUUGUAACAGUGUUAAAGUUGUUUACACGGCCACCCUCAGUGUGACCUGUAUGGCGGUUGACCAAGUAUGCCUUGCAUUCAC